UCUCUGAUCUCUCUCUGUGUGCUCCCAAGC
rnacentral:piRNA from 1 species